rnacentral:rRNA from 1 species
UACGGAGGGGGCUAGCGCUGUUCGGAAUUACUGGGCGUAAAGCGCGUGUAGGCGGGUCGUUAAGUCGGGGGUGAAAGCCCAGAGCUCAACUCUGGAACUGCCCUCGAUACUGGCGACCUUGAGUGAGGAAGAGGCGAGUGGAAUUCCGAGUGUAGAGGUGAAAUUCAUAGAUAUUCGGAGGAACACCAGUGGCGAAGGCGGCUCGCUGGUCCUUUACUGACGCUGAGACGCGAAAGCGUGGGGAGCAAACAGG